UACGGAGGGGGCUAGCGUUGUUCGGAAUUACUGGGCGUAAAGCGCACGUAGGCGGCUUUGUAAGUUAGAGGUGAAAGCCCGGGGCUCAACUCCGGAAUUGCCUUUAAGACUGCAUCGCUAGAAUUGUGGAGAGGUAAGUGGAAUUCCGAGUGUAGAGGGUGAAAUUCGUAGAUAUUCGGAAGAACACCAGUGGCGAAGGCGACUCGCUGGACAGACGAUUGACGCUGAGGUGCGAAAGCGUGGGGAGCAAACAGG
rnacentral:rRNA from 1 species